rnacentral:rRNA from 1 species
CACGAACGCUGGCGGCAGGCUUAACACAUGCAAGUCGAGCGCCCCGCAAGGGGAGCGGCAGACGGGUGAGUAACGCGUGGGAAUCUACCAUCUCUACGGAAUAACGCAUGGAAACGUGUGCUAAUACCGUAUACGUCCUUCGGGAGAAAGAUUUAUCGGAGAUGGAUGAGCCCGCGUUGGAUUAGCUAGUUGGUGGGGUAAAGGCCUACCAAGGCGACGAUCCAUAGCUGGUCUGAGAGGAUGAUCAGCCACACUGGGACCGAGACACGGCCCAGACUCCUACGGGAGGCAGCAGUGGGGAAUAUUGGACAAUGGGCGCAAGCCUGAUCCAGCCAUGCCGCGUGAGUGAUGAAGGCCCUAGGGUUGUAAAGCUCUUUCACCGGUGAAGAUAGUGACGGUAACCGGAGAAGAAGCCCCGGCUAACUUCGUGCCAGCAGCCGCCGUAAGAC